AUAGCGCAUGCUAAACUGCACACAUCACAAGAAUAUAGCCUGCAAGAUGUGGUGAGGGAGGUCGCGGAAUUUAGGAUAACCCGACUGACUGACGUGGAGAACGUGGAGUCACGAUUUACAGCUUGACCAUUUAUUUACUGAUAAACACUACUUCACCUAAGAGACUUGAGUAUCCAGUUCUUUAUUGACCUUCAGCAUUCAGUUGUUUGUCUUCACCUUUUCAGGUUUCCUGUGUCCAGCAUCUUCAAGACAGACUAAGCUAACUUUUCAUAUUUUGUGCACAUUUAUAUUUAGGUUAGGUUAGGAAU